rnacentral:snRNA from 1 species
UCUAGAUGGAUCAUCCAACUGAA